rnacentral:lncRNA from 1 species
AUCCACAUAUCUACCUUUAGUUUAUCUAUCAUUUAUUACUGUUUUAUUCAUCACCUAUAGUCCACUGAAAAAGCCAAAAAAAACCAAAAACCCUUUGACGGUACUGUUAUCUUGUGUUUUUUGUGUUCAUCAAGUUGCUAGUCACCCUCUUUACACAUAUUGUGUUGUGUUUCAUUUGUUAUCCGCAUCCCUGUUAGUAUAAAAAAAGAGUUAAAAAUCAGAGAAAGAAAAUAAGAAGAACAGAAAGAUCCGAAAGAAAAGUAAAAGAAGAGAAGAGGGGUUG